GGAGAGUGGAGCUCAGUGAUGGAGUGCAUGCUUGGCAUACAUGAGGUCCUGGGUUCAAUCCUCAGUACCUCCA
rnacentral:tRNA from 1 species